rnacentral:piRNA from 1 species
CAGCAAAUGAGAUAGUUUGUUGCCAAUGAU